rnacentral:rRNA from 1 species
AGAGUUUGAUCAUGGCUCAGGACGAACGCUGGCGGCGUGCCUAAUACAUGCAAGUAGAACGCUGAAGAGAGGAGCUUGCUCUUCUUGGAUGAGUUGCGAACGGGUGAGUAACGCGUAGGUAACCUGCCUUGUAGCGGGGGAUAACUAUUGGAAACGAUAGCUAAUACCGCAUAACAAUGGAUGACACAUGUCAUUUAUUUGAAAGGGGCAAUUGUUCCACUACAAGAUGGACCUGCGUUGUAUUAGCUAGUAGGUGAGGUAAUGGCUCACCUAGGCGACGAUACAUAGCCGACCUGAGAGGGUGAUCGGCCACACUGGGACUGAGACACGGCCCAGACUCCUACGGGAGGCAGCAGUAGGGAAUCUUCGGCAAUGGGGGCAACCCUGACCGAGCAACGCCGCGUGAGUGAAGAAGGUUUUCGGAUCGUAAAGCUCUGUUGUAAGUCAAGAACGGGUGUGAGAGUGGAAAGUUCACACUGUGACGGUAGCUUACCAGAAAGGGACGGCUAACUACGUGCCAGCAGCCGCGGUAAUACGUAGGUCCCGAGCGUUGUCCGGAUUUAUUGGGCGUAAAGCGAGCGCAGGCGGUUUGAUAAGUCUGAAGUUAAAGGCUGUGGCUCAACCAUAGUUCGCUUUGGAAACUGUCAAACUUGAGUGCAGAAGGGGAGAGUGGAAUUCCAUGUGUAGCGGUGAAAUGCGUAGAUAUAUGGAGGAACACCGGUGGCGAAAGCGGCUCUCUGGUCUGUAACUGACGCUGAGGCUCGAAAGCGUGGGGAGCGAACAGGAUUAGAUACCCUGGUAGUCCACGCCGUAAACGAUGAGUGCUAGGUGUUGGAUCCUUUCCGGGAUUCAGUGCCGCAGCUAACGCAUUAAGCACUCCGCAUGGGGAGUACGACCGCAAGGUUGAAACUCAAAGGAAUUGACGGGGGCCCGCACAAGCGGUGGAGCAUGUGGUUUAAUUCGAAGCAACGCGAAGAACCUUACCAGGUCUUGACAUCCCGAUGCUAUUUCUAGAGAUAGAAAGUUACUUCGGUACAUCGGUGACAGGUGGUGCAUGGUUGUCGUCAGCUCGUGUCGUGAGGUGUUGGGUUAAGUCCCGCAACGAGCGCAACCCCUAUUGUUAGUUGCCAUCAUUCAGUUGGGCACUCUAGCGAGACUGCCGGUAAUAAACCGGAGGAAGGUGGGGAUGACGUCAAAUCAUCAUGCCCCUUAUGAUCUGGGCUACACACGUGCUACAAUGGCGUAAACAAAGGGAAGCGAACCCGCGAGGGUGGGCAAAUCCCAAAAAUAACGUCCCAGUUCGGGCUGUAGUCUGCAACCCGACUACACGAAGCUGGAAUCGCUAGUAAUCGCGGAUCAGAAUGCCGCGGUGAAUACGUUCCCGGGUCUUGUACACACCGCCCGUCACACCAUGGGAGUCAGUAACGCCCGAAGUCAGUGACCUAACCGUAAGGAGGGAGCUGCCGAAGGCGGGACCGAUGACUGGGGUGAAGUCGUAACAAGGUA